AGGUAGGGAUACCCGCUGAACUUAAGCAUAUCAAUAAGCGGAGGAAAAGAAACCAACAGGGAUUGCCCUAGUAACGGCGAGUGAAGCGGCAAAAGCUCAGAUUUGGAAUCUGGCGCCAUUGUGGCGUCCGAGUUGUAGUCUGAAGAGGGGAAUUCAAGUGUAGCUUUGGCUUAAGUUCCUUGGAACAGGACGUCAUAGAGGGUGAGAACCCCGUUAAUGGCCUUUGUCUUAUGCUUAUGUGAAUCUCCUUCAAUGAGUCGAGUUGUUUGGGAAUGCAGCUCUAAAUGGGUGGUAAAUUCCAUCUAAAGCUAAAUACUGGCAAGAGACCGAUAGCGCACAAGUAGAGUGAUCGAAAGAUGAAAAGAACUCUGAACAGAGAGUUAAAUAGUACGUGAAAUUGUUGAAAGGGAAGCACUUGUAACCAGACACGCUUGCAGCUGAUCAAUCCUGAUUUUUGAGGAUGCACUCAGUUGCUAGCGAGUCAACAUCAGUCAUGGUGAC
rnacentral:rRNA from 1 species